UACGUAGGGUGCAAGCGUUGUCCGGAAUUAUUGGGCGUAAAGAGCUCGUAGGCGGUUUGUCGCGUCUGCUGUGAAAACUCGGGGCUUUAACUCCGGGCCUGCAGUGGGUACGGGCAGACUAGAGUGCGGUAGGGGAGACUGGAAUUCCUGGUGUAGCGGUGAAAUGCGCAGAUAUCAGGAGGAACACCGGUGGCGAAGGCGGCAUCCUGGACCAAUUCUGACGUGAGGAGCGAAAGCCAGGGGAGCAAACGGG
rnacentral:rRNA from 1 species